AGUGGCCAAGAGCGCUGCUAGCGCUCGUAUUUUUCUGCUACAUGUUCAACGUUAUUAAAACCAUUCGACGAUUAAAAUUCACUGCUUCUGGGCACACUGUGACCCAAAUUAACUUUGUUAUCCUUUUUCUAUACGGGGCCAAGACGAAGUCACAUAAAUACACCAGGGGGAAUUCGCUGUGUACCGAACUGAACCGAACCGAACCGGAUGGGGGAGCGCGAGCGCGCCCGUGUCGAGCUGCUGCUGGAAACUGCAGGCACUGAUGGGCGAAGAGGGUAACCCGCGGUGAUGGCGGACCACUCCAGUAUGCAAAACAGGGUGCCUGGACAAUGGCCGAGCUGUCAGAGGAGAUGCCAGCAUUCGCUGGGAGGGAGAUUGCAACGGGGGUCACUGAAAAUGUAUGCAAAUUUGACAUUUCUAAACUAAUUAGCAUAUUUACACAUCAAAGUUCUUACAUGAUUUUUUUACUUUCUGCAGAAGGAGUUAGGGGGCUUCUUGGUUGGUUGAAACCCCUUCCUCUUUCUUUUUCUAUUUGGGCAAAUGAAAGUAACUUUGACAUGUUCCUGUCCAUCUUGAGAUCCAUCUUUCCACCAUGACAGAAUAAUAACAUCUUCGGGCCAAGUCUCCUCUUUGAUCUGCACACCCUUCCUUUCCAUUAUUGCUCAGCCUUUUGAUUGUCCACUCAGUCUCGGUGCAGGGCACAAAUUGUGAGACACAUGUAAUUAGAUUUUUUUUUUUUUUGCUCCCUGGAAAGUACUUAUAACAUGACAGAACACUGGGGAUGUUUACAACACUUGUGUU